UUCUCUCACACUUUCUUCACAGGAAACCCUAGAUCUGCUAAGCACAACGUAGAUCUGGGCAGAUCUUUGAGGCUUCGACUGGCGGUCCCCUACUCAAAGGGAAAAAACCAAACUUGGCCAUAAAUAUCUAAAAAAUCUAUGUCUCAUUAACAGCAACAUAUGGAAUUUGAGGAGGGGGAAUACAACUUCAACAGCUUUAACUGAACUGACAAGGAUUUUUCACUGCUUUUUUUUUUUUUUUUUAAAAAAAUUGUUAUUUAUGCUUCAUGUCUCUAAUCAUUAUUUUAUUAGAUUAGUAAAUUGUUGUAAUGUUAAAAAAGUUUUUUGUUGUAAAUUAUUAAUUUAGAUCUUUUAGGUUUAUUUUAGAAUUU